rnacentral:rRNA from 1 species
GAUGAACGCUAGCGGCAGGCCUAAUACAUGCAGGUCGGACGGGAUUCAGGAGCUUGCUUCUGAUGAGAGUGGCGCACGGGUGCGUAACACGUAUGUAACCUACCUUUAUCAGGGGGAUAGCCUCUCGAAAGAGAGAUUAAGCCCGCAUAAAAUCACAGCACAGCAUUGUGUAAUGAUCAAAUAUUUAUAGGAUAAAGAUGGGCAUGCGGAACAUUAGCUAGAUGGCGGGGUAACGGCCCACCAUGGCGACGAUGUUUAGGGGAUCUGAGAGGAUGGCCCCCCACACUGGUACUGAGACACGGACCAGACUCCUACGGGAGGCAGCAGUAAGGAAUAUUGGUCAAUGGGCGGAAGCCUGAACCAGCCAUGCCCGUGCAGGAAGACGGCCCUACUGGUUGUAAACUGCUUUUAUACGGGAAUAAACCCAGAUACGUGUAUCUGGCUGAAUGUACUGUAAGAAUAAGGAUCGGCUAACUCCGUG